GAAUCGCCUUCGGCCCUGAAGGAAAUCUCCCCUGCGUUUCUGACCACAGUUGGAAAGAGAGAAAAGCAAAGAGAAGUCCCGGUUCAACAGGUGUUUCUCCACUAAACAAAAUGAAGCAAAGAAGAAUAUUUACCACGAGUCACCAGAAAAGGCAGCACCGAAGAAACGCAAGAUAGCAACAAGUGAAUAUAGAAGAUUUCAAACAGGCUGGUUCCACUCACCUCAUCUUCAUCCCCGCCUACUUAAGGAGAUCCAGGACCUGUUUUCGACGCCAGUCCGUUGUUCCUUCCACGGUGCUUAUGUCUGGCCAGCUCAUGUUUUGUGCCUUGUCUAAUCCCAGCCUCGUUAACUGUUCCUCUCUGCUCCACUCUCAGGAAUUAUCUGCAUCACGGGUGAACCUCGGGUCGCAGUCCACCGCUCACGCUCUCCUCCUUGGAUUCAGCCGAAGCCACGCACUCUGGACCUUCCUGCCGCAAACCUCCUGUCAGCUGCCACGCCAUUUCAAGAAUCCUACAAUCUACUCACCCUCUGUGAAUUAACCUCUCUUAAACUUA